UACGGGGGAGCAAGCGUUGUUCGGAUUUACUGGGCGUAAAGGCGCGUAGGCGGCCACCGCAAGUCGACUGUGAAAUCUCCGGGCUUAACCCGGAAAGGUCAGCCGAUACUGCGGGGCUAGAGUGCAGAAGGGGCAACUGGAAUUCUCGGUGUAGCGGUGAAUGCGUAGAUAUCGAGAGGAACACCUGCGGCGAAGGCGGGUUGCUGGGCUGACACUGACGCUGAUGCGCGAAGCUAGGGAGCGACGGG
rnacentral:rRNA from 1 species